UCAAAUGCAAAAGUCAUGACUGGAUUCAAUUUCACGAUGGUGCUGUAUGCAUGAAGAGAGCCAGGAUGGCCCACAUAUACUGUAGGUGGUAAUGAAAAAAAAUUGGACAAUUUCUUCCACUUUUAACAUACAUGUGCUUUUAUUUUUGUGUAUAAGUGUUACCUGGCUAAGUGACGAGUGCUGGAGGGCCGUGUCAAGGCAGGAGUUAUGUGUGAGCUCUGGGCGCUGGAAAACUGUCCUAAAUAUGGAGGAAAGAAGAGAGACAAAACAACAACUGAAAGGCAGACUGUGUUCAGCUUGCUUUAGUUGACAAUCUACACACCAACUCCACAGAAACGAAUGACAACUUGAAUUGAUGACCACAGGGGAGUCCAGUGAUGCCUGGUCCAGCACAGUCACUAAGAGAAGCCUCACAAAAAAUGACAGGCUUCAUGAUGAGAAAGACAUCAUGUCCACCACAGCAAGCAGCUGUCUUGACUGAUCAUCACUGACAUGAGGCCUCUGUUGAUGGUUGAAGAUGAAGGCUUCACUACAAUGAUCUUAUUUGCUCUGUCAGUCCAAAUCUUCCAUUUCUGAAUAAAGCGGCAGAAAAAAAAUGUGUUGUUUUUUAAAAUCCGAUUAAUCGGAAAAAAAAUAAUUGACCAAUUAAUCGAUUAUUAAAAUAAUCAUUAGUUGCAGCCCUACCUACCUUUGCACAACACAACUGAUGAUCUCAAACACGUUAAGAAGACAAGAAAUUGAACAAACUGACCCUUCACAAGGAGCAUUUGUUAAUUCAAACCAUUCCAGGGAGACUACCUCUUGAAGCUGGCUGAGAGAAUGCCAAGUGUGUGCAAAGCUGGCAUCAAAGGAAAAGGGGGGUACUUUAAUGAAUCUAAAAUAUUAAAAAUAUUCUGGUCUGUUUAACACUUUUUGUUUACUACAUAAUUCCAUAUGUGUUCUUUCAUAGUAGCAUCAUAGCAUGGUAAGUCAGAUCAGGUCGUGUUACCUGCUACUGGUACUAAUUAAGCCAGUACAACCUGCCACAUUGAAAAUGGGUAGAUGGCUUACCCAGGUCUCAGUCUCCAAAGGGUGUAUGAACUCAAUAGUUACCGGCCAACCAUCAGACAUGGAGUGGGGCCCCAUGUAAAGUUAAGUUUACAUUCCAAC